rnacentral:lncRNA from 1 species
UAAAUACUCAUUCCAGAAAGGUGUGUGAUACUAAUUUAUAAGGUAACACAAAAUUAGUUUUAUAGAAACGUCUAAAACUAGUAUAAAUCAACCCCCAAUGCAAUAUUCAUCUCUGUCCACGCAUUAUAUUAAAGUGUGCUAAAAUGUGUACAUUUCACCCUGAUAUAUAGGGGCUGAAGGCUGUUUUACGUGAUUUAUGGAAUCACUGAAGGAUUUAUUUCUCCUCUCCAGUUGUUUUUCUACUAUCUUCUUGAGAUUUAUAUUACCCAAUCAGGUUCCAGUCAGUUCAGGAAACUCCAUUUCACAGUGGGAAGACUAGAAAGGCUAACUAUUUCAUGUGGGAAGAAGGCAGAGUUUUGAAACUUGGAAAUCAUAGAUGAUACAAGAGCUACUCAGUGCACAAAAUGGUUUGUUUUCCUUCAAUGAUCUCUGAUUUGUACUAGUCAUUGAUCAUUUGCAUUUUUCCACAUAGAUUUUCAUAAACCACAGUUAUGCUUACUUUUACAGUGGGUUUAUGCACUGUUAAAUAUGACCUCUAAUUUUAAUAUAGGCUUUCUUGAUUUCAUUCUUUCUUCUGACUUUUCAUGCCUCACAUAUCCAGGAUGAGUUAU